UACAGAGGUGGCAAGCGUUGUUCGGAAUUAUUGGGCGUAAAGCGCGUGUAGGCGGCUUUGCAAGUCGGGUGUGAAAGCCCUCAGCUCAACUGAGGAAGUGCGCCCGAAACUGCAGAGCUUGAGUGCCGGAGAGGGUGGCGGAAUUCCCCAAGUAGAGGUGAAAUUCGUAGAUAUGGGGGAGGAACACCGGUGGCGAAGGCGG
rnacentral:rRNA from 1 species